rnacentral:rRNA from 1 species
AGAGUUUGAUCCUGGCUCAGAACGAACGCUGGCGGCAUGCCUAACACAUGCAAGUCGAACGAACCCUUCGGGGUUAGUGGCGCACGGGUGCGUAACACGUGGGAAUCUGCCCUUUGCUUCGGAAUAACAGUUAGAAAUGACUGCUAAUACCGGAUGAUGCCGUAAGACCAAAGAUUUAUCGGCAAAGGAUGAGCCCGCGUAGGAUUAGGUAGUUGGUGGGGUAAAGGCCUACCAAGCCGACGAUCCUUAGCUGGUCUGAGAGGAUGAUCAGCCACACUGGGACUGAGACACGGCCCAGACUCCUACGGGAGGCAGCAGUGGGGAAUAUUGGACAAUGGGCGAAAGCCUGAUCCAGCAAUGCCGCGUGAGUGAUGAAGGCCUUCGGGUUGUAAAGCUCUUUUACCAGGGAUGAUAAUGACAGUACCUGGAGAAUAAGCUCCGGCUAACUCCGUG